rnacentral:lncRNA from 1 species
GAGGGGGGAGAUUAGAGAAGAUGAAAAUGAAAGAACAUAAGAGAUGCGAGAUUAAAGAAGAAAUGUGCGAUAGAAAUGUAAUUGGAAGGGAAAACAAUAACAUAAAAAUGAGAAUGUAUAAAAGAAAGAAUAUAAUAGAUGAGAGAUUCAAGUAGAAGAAGUGAGACAUACAUGACAAAGAAGAUGAGAAGAAUGUGUGAUACUAUGAGGAGAAAUUUG